AACCCUCUCCGUAUACUAAAAAAAAAAAAAACAGAUGUUAGGACAAGAAGAGUACAUUUUACUCUUUCUUUCGCACUGUCGCCUCUCCAGAAAAAUGUUCCUCGCUUGUUUUGUUGUUUCUUUUCCUUCCUUCUCUGGGUUAUCCGUAAGCUUGAUCCUUGUAUGUUAGGACCUUCUACGACUCUUUUUAUCAUUUUUGCCUUUAGUAAGCUAUCUUCCAUUCUUUCCGUCUCUUCCUCUCUACAUCGAUCUGACCAAAAAAGGCUCAUAGGUGGUCGGGGUUUAUCCUCACAGGACUGAAGUUUCAAUAUGUCGGUGCAUGGACUUGACCUACUUUGUGUUGAUUAAGGACCAAGGCAAUUCCAGUGUACUGUGGCAGAAGGCUCCCUUUACCCCUUUUUUGGUGAAGCUUUUUGAUUGCUAGAGCACCUAGCUAGGUUUAACACAGCUUCUUUGUCUUCUGCUUGACAAACAAAUUUGCAUUUGUGUUGUUUAUUAUGUCGCACCCCUAUGGAAAUGUAAUUAUUGGGACCCCUUGUGCUCUUCUUUAAAUUAUGUUGAAACUGAAGAUGAUCAAGCCAUUAAAGUCAAUGAGAGGUCAAAUAUGAAAGAAAAAGUGCCCAAAAGAUCACAUGGACGUAUCGGGAGGCCACCCGCUUGAUAGCCAAAAUAGCCCCAUCUGCACCCAUGGUGCACCCCAUCUGCGCCCAGUCUACUCUAGAUCUGCUUAAGUUGAUCAAGAGUGCAGUGGAAUUUUUGUAAAUUUGGUUAAAUAGGAAUUUGGGGCUAAAUUGGGGGUUUUCGGCUCAUUUCUACCACCAGUGAGAAUCGUUGUACUACUCUUGAUCUAAGAGCAUAUUAAAGUGACUCUCAAGUGAAGAAUUAGUGAUUUCUAUCGAUGAUUUAUUGAAAUUAAAGCUUGGAUUUUA